CCUACGGGAGGCAGCAGUGAGGAAUAUUGGUCAAUGGGCGAGAGCCUGAACCAGCCAAGUCGCGUGAGUGAAGACGGUCCUAUGGACUGUAAACCCCUUUUUCCGGGGAGCAAAAAGCGGUACGCGUACCGCAUCGAGAGUACCCGGAGAAAAAGCAUCGGCUAACUCCGGGCCAGCAGCCGCGGUAAAACGGAGGAUGCGAGGGUUAUCGGGUUUAAUUGGGGUAAAGGGGUGCGCAGGGGGCGAGUUAAGUCAGCGGGAAAAUUUCGGGGCUCAACCCCGCCAAGCCGUUGAAACUGGCUGGCUAGAGUGGGCGAGAGGUGAGCGGAAUGCGUGGUGUAGCGGUGAAAUGCAUAGAUAUAACGCAGAACUCCGAUUGCGAAGGCAGCAUACCGGCGCCCAACUGACGCUCAGGCACGAAAGCGUGGGUAUCGAACAGGAUUAGAUACCCCGGUAGUC
rnacentral:rRNA from 1 species